rnacentral:rRNA from 1 species
GAUGAACGCUGGCGGCGUGCCUAAUACAUGCAAGUCGAGCGAACAGACGAGGAGCUUGCUCCUCUGACGUUAGCGGCGGACGGGUGAGUAACACGUGGAUAACCUACCUAUAAGACUGGGAUAACUUCGGGAAACCGGAGCUAAUACCGGAUAAUAUAUUGAACCGCAUGGUUCAAUAGUGAAAGACGGUUUUGCUGUCACUUAUAGAUGGAUCCGCGCCGCAUUAGGUAGUUGGUAAGGUAACGGCUUACCAAGGCAACGAUGCGUAGCCGACCUGAGAGGGUGAUCGGCCACCCUGGAAGUGAGACACGGUCCAGAGUCCUACGGGAGGCAGCCGUAGGGAAUCUUCCGGAAUGGGCGAAAGCCUGACGGCGCAACGCGGCGUGAUGGAUGAGGGUCUUCGGAUCGUAAACCUCUGUUAUUAGGGAAGAACACAUGUGUAAGUAACUAGGCACGUCUUGACGGUACCUAAUCAGAAAGCCACGGCUAACUACGUG